rnacentral:tRNA from 7 species
GGCCGCCUGGCGAAAUGGUAUCGCGUCUGACUACGAAUCAGGAGAUUGCAGGUUCGAGCCCUGCGGUGGUCA